ACGAAGUCGUACGCUUCUUUUUCCACCGGAGCUUGCUCCACCGGAAAAAGAAGAGUGGCGAACGGGUGAGUAACACGUGGGUAACCUGCCCAUCAGAAGGGGAUAACACUUGGAAACAGGUGCUAAUACCGUAUAACAAUCGAAACCGCAUGGUUUUGAUUUGAAAGGCGCUUUCGGGUGUCGCUGAUGGAUGGACCCGCGGUGCAUUAGCUAGUUGGUGAGGUAACGGCUCACCAAGGCCACGAUGCAUAGCCGACCUGAGAGGGUGAUCGGCCACAUUGGGACUGAGACACGGCCCAAACUCCUACGGGAGGCAGCAGUAGGGAAUCUUCGGCAAUGGGCGAAAGUCUGACCGAGCAACGCCGCGUGAGUGAAGAAGGUUUUCGGAUCGUAAAACUCUGUUGUUAGAGAAGAACAAGGAUGAGAGUAACUGUUCAUCCCUUGACGGUAUCUAACCAGAAAGCCACGGCUAACUACGUGCCAGCAGCCGCGGUAAUACGUAGGUGGCAAGCGUUGUCCGGAUUUAUUGGGCGUAAAGCGAGCGCAGGCGGUUUCUUAAGUCUGAUGUGAAAGCCCCCGGCUCAACCGGGGAGGGUCAUUGGAAACUGGGAGACUUGAGUGCAGAAGAGGAGAGUGGAAUUCCAUGUGUAGCGGUGAAAUGCGUAGAUAUAUGGAGGAACACCAGUGGCGAAGGCGGCUCUCUGGUAUGUAACUGACGCUGAGGCUCGAAAGCGUGGGGAGCAAACAGGAUUAGAUACCCUGGUAGUCCACGCCGUAAACGAUGAGUGCUAAGUGUUGGAGGGUUUCCGCCCUUCAGUGCUGCAGCUAACGCAUUAAGCACUCCGCCUGGGGAGUACGACCGCAAGGUUGAAACUCAAAGGAAUUGACGGGGGCCCGCACAAGCGGUGGAGCAUGUGGUUUAAUUCGAAGCAACGCGAAGAACCUUACCAGGUCUUGACAUCCUUUGACCACUCUAGAGAUAGAGCUUCCCCUUCGGGGGCAAAGUGACAGGUGGUGCAUGGUUGUCGUCAGCUCGUGUCGUGAGAUGUUGGGUUAAGUCCCGCAACGAGCGCAACCCUUAUUGUUAGUUGCCAUCAUUUAGUUGGGCACUCUAGCAAGACUGCCGGUGACAAACCGGAGGAAGGUGGGGAUGACGUCAAAUCAUCAUGCCCCUUAUGACCUGGGCUACACACGUGCUACAAUGGGAAGUACAACGAGUCGCGAAGUCGCGAGGCUAAGCUAAUCUCUUAAAGCUUCUCUCAGUUCGGAUUGUAGGCUGCAACUCGCCUACAUGAAGCCGGAAUCGCUAGUAAUCGCGGAUCAGCACGCCGCGGUGAAUACGUUCCCGGGCCUUGUACACACCGCCCGUCACACCACGAGAGUUUGUAACACCCGAAGUCGGUGAGGUAACCUUUUGGAGCCCGAUC
rnacentral:rRNA from 1 species